GACGUAGGAGGCGAGCGUUGUCCGGAUUCAUUGGGCGUAAAGGGCGCGUAGGCGGCGGGGUAAGUCUGGUGUGAAAUCUAGGAGCUCAACUCCUAAACUGCACUGGAUACUGCUCUGCUAGAGGACUGGAGAGGAGACUGGAAUUCACGGUGUAGCAGUGAAAUGCGUAGAUAUCGUGAGGAAGACCAGUGGCGAAGGCGGGUCUCUGGACAGUUCCUGACGCUGAGGCGCGAAGGCCAGGGGAGCAAACGGG
rnacentral:rRNA from 1 species